UAACACGUGGAUAAUCUGCCCUUAGGUGGAGGAUAACCUCGGGAAACUGAGAAUAAUACUCCAUAGGUCUAGGAUGCUGGAAUGCACUUAGGCUGAAAGCUCCGGCACCUAACGAUGAGUCUGCGGACUAUCAGGUUGUAGUCAGGGUAAUGACCUGACUAGCCUACGACGGAUACGGGUUGUGAGAGCAAUAACCCGGAGAUGAUAUCUGAGACACGAUAUCAGGCCCUACGGGGCGCAGCAGGCGCGAAAACUUCACACUGUGCGACAGCACGAUUAGGGAAUCCCAAGUGCUUGCUCACAAGAGUAAGCUGUUUCUAUGUUUAAAAUGCACACAGAGUAAGGGCUGGGUAAGACGGGUGCCAGCCGCCGCGGUAAUACCUGCAGCUCUAGUGGUGAUCGCUA
rnacentral:rRNA from 1 species